AUUGAACGCUGGCGGCAUGCCUUACACAUGCAAGUCGAACGGCAGCACGGGUGCUUGCACCUGGUGGCGAGUGGCGAACGGGUGAGUAAUACAUCGGAACAUGUCCUGUAGUGGGGGAUAGCCCGGCGAAAGCCGGAUUAAUACCGCAUACGAUCUACGGAUGACAGCGGGGGACCUUCGGGCCUCGCGCUAUAGGGUUGGCCGAUGGCUGAUUAGCUAGUUGGUGGGGUAAAGGCCAACCAAGGCGACGAUCAGUAGCUGGUCUGAGAGGACGACCAGCCACACUGGGACUGAGACACGGCCCAGACUCCUACGGGAGGCAGCAGUGGGGAAUUUUGGACAAUGGGCGAAAGCCUGAUCCAGCAAUGCCGCGUGUGUGAAGAAGGCCUUCGGGUUGUAAAGCACUUUUGUCCGGAAAGAAAUCCUUGGCCCUAAUACGGUCGGGGGAUGACGGUACCGGAAGAAUAAGCACCGGCUAACUACGUG
rnacentral:rRNA from 1 species